rnacentral:tRNA from 1 species
GGCCCGGUAGCUCAGUUGGUAGAGCAGAGGACUGAAAAUCCUUGUGUCGGUGGUUCGAUCCCGCCCCAGGCCA